UACGUAGGGUGCGAGCGUUAUUCGGAAUUACUGGGCGUAAAGCGUGCGCAGGCGGUUUUGUAAGCCAGAUGUGAAAUCCCCGGGCUUAACCUGGGAAUGGCAUUUGGGACUGCAAGGCUCGAGUGCGGGAGAGGAGACUGGAAUUCCUGGUGUAGCGGUGGAAUGCGCAGAUAUCAGGAGGAACACCGGUGGCGAAGGCGGGUCUCUGGGCAGUAACUGACACUGAGGGACGAAAGCGAGGGGAGCGAAUGGG
rnacentral:rRNA from 1 species